UCAGGGAGGUCGGCAACGACCACCCAGAGCCGGAAAGUUGGUCAAACUCGGUCAUUUAGAGGAAGUAAAAGUCGUAACAAGGUCUCCGUAGGUGAACCUGCGGAGGGAUCAUU
rnacentral:rRNA from 1 species